rnacentral:tRNA from 1 species
UGUAUUUAAGUGUAAGGGGCAUAAUAAUUUUUGAUAUUAUUGGGUAUAGUUCAAUUCUAUAAAAUAUAA